UUGAGCUUGGCAGAGGAGAAAUAUGAUCUUCAAAUUGCAGAAUCAGAGGGGGAGUCUCUGAGGCAUUCCAAGGGAGGAAGGGGUUUCAGAUGCAGUAUCUGUGAGAAGGUACUGACAUGUAAAGGUGGAUAUACUGUUCAUCAGCAGAUGCACUUGAAGUCAAAAG